UAAAUGUCUUUUCAAGUAUGUAAACAUAGUAUGGCCUCCUUCCCUCCCUUCUUUCUUUCUUUUUCUUUCUCUCUUUCUCUCUUCCUCUCUCGCUCUUUCUUUCUUUCUUACCGCUCUUCCAUUUCUGGUGUACCCUCAAUGUUCCUGCUGGGUAAACCCGUCUGAAAUGUAUGGUGAUAUCCCUCAUCCCCAGUUGCUUCGUGUGGUGCUGUGAAAACAAAACCAAUUUUAGCAUCAAAAGAUAUUUUCAAGUAUUUUUCUUCACUAGGCAAGCUGUAAAAAUCUUCAGCUGUUUUGUUGCCAUGUAAAGUUUAAACGCAAGAGUCAUCACCUCCUCUCAGACCUGCAGAGAAGCGUGUAUGGUACAUGAAGCCUGGGGAUGAGGACAUCGAAGCACCAAUAUGCUCAAGGCCUCACGGCUGGUAGACACACAGCUAGGAUCUGAACUCGUGCUGAUUGGCCCAGAACAGGCGCUUUUAAGCACUUCCCUACAAGCUUCUGCGUGUCCUUAUUUAGUCUUCACAACAACUUUAGGAUCAAACACUGUUUGCAUCGGUUUUACAGAUGAGGGUAUUGUCUUUCAAUUAACUUGGGUUAAAUAACUUGCAAUGAGUCAAAAUGUAGUGAUCUCUGAAGAUAGACUUAAACCUAAGUGUGACAUCCAAACCUUUGCUAUGUGCGGUUUGUGUCCAUUAUGCAGCAAGGUGGUAAAGGAAGGGAAGGUAAUGGUAGCAUACUAUGCCAUGAUCUCCUGAAGACACAGUCCCACAUCUGACACUUCUCAGCUCUACUUUACUCUCGCUGGGUCUCCUGUCACACAGUUUUUCUUCUUGCUAUUGCAAUACGGCCACCAGCGGAUCAAUGCUUAAGGACUGUUUUUCCCUUCCCAGAAGUUCUAAAAAUCCUAAGGUCA
rnacentral:lncRNA from 1 species